CGUGUAUAUAUAGCUAGGACCUUGGGGCGUCGAGAAGCGCCCAUCAUCAUCCAGCUGAAACCAUCGGUCGAUUGCUCGCCGGACGCAGCAUCGAUUCUCCUGGCACGCCCACGUCGGAGGUGGUCGAUCGAUAGAUAGAUACGUGAUGGAGAACGACAGGAACAACCAGGCGCCGCCACCACCCCCAGGCUACUACCCAUCCGCGGCCGCGGAGCAACGUCAAGCCGGCGGCGGGAAGAAGUCGCGCCGGGGGAGCACCAAAUCCAGGGGCGAGAAGGGAUUCAUCGAGGGAUGCCUAGCGGCGCUGUGCUGCUGCUGGAUCUGCGAGAUGUGCUGCGACUAACCGGCCGGCGAGGCCGCUGCCGGCAAAAGAAGUUGGUGCUAGUGCCUAUGAAGAACAUACCCAUACAGAGAGUCGUUUCUUAAUUACAGUGUUUGUUACUUUGUUGUUUUAGGUUCUGCGGAAAUAACCGAGAACGCGUGCGUGCGUGCGGGUGUGAUGUCCAUGUACCUACCGUGCGUCACACCUAUAAUCAAUUUUAUGGCGCCAAAUUAUCGGGCUACUGUUGAGGAUCCUCUAAUUAAAGAUAACAUCUGCUGUGCACAAUGAAGGCUUUUAUUUGCAGAGGGAGAAGUCGUGAAGGCGUAAUCAGCAGUCACUUGUGCAGAGGUAAUAGUAGUGGGAUCGAGGUUUUAUUUCUAUAAAAGAAAUAUAGUGGUAUCAAGUCAGGUCCAUCUCUAAUUGCUCGGUAAUCGAGUUGUGUGCAUCGUAAAGAUGCAGAUCGAGUGGGGUUAUCCUCCUCUAAAAAAGGGUUAUCUCUAAUUGCUCGUUUGGCAGCAAGAGAGAGCAUA